AGGCAAAGCCGGGAGAAACUGCUGAGACGAGGUCUCCUGACUUCCCACCAUGUGAUGCAAUGAUCAUCUUGCUGGAUUUCUGUGAUGAGAGAGGGAUGCUGUGGUAUAGAAUAAACAUGGAAAUGGGUCUUGGGAAAUUCCUCUGGAGUCCCUCUGAGGAGUGGUCUGUGAUGGGACAGGGGCCCUGGAAGGGGAGGGAGGAAGGCAGGUGUGGCCGCCCCUUAGGAGGCAGGCAGAGGGCACCCUGCAACCAGGGUGCAUCCAAGCGUUCCCCAACCUUAAUGUGCCUUGACUCGCUGUGGGGUUUCGUUCAGAUGCAGGUUCUGAGGGAGCAGGCCUGGCCAGGGGCUCCCAGGUGAGAUGGAGGCUGUGCCAGCUGGGACCACAUUCUUUGUAGUAAGGGUGUUACGAAUUCUUUUCACCCUCAGUGCCCACGCCUGAGCCUCUGGCUGGAGGGAAGUGGGCAGGCCACUUGAUGUCUGCAGAGAUGCCUCCAGAAAGGCCCGAGAGCCCCAGAAUGCAUGUGCCAGGAAACACGAAGCAACAUGAGGGUAAAAUUAUGUUUUUAACAGAAGAAAAGACCUCUGCCUUGCAGCGUGUAGACAGAUUUCUAUUCCCACCCCCACGCAGCCCCAGGGACCUGAAAGAAUGUGGUUUUCUGAGCACGGCCUUCCGUUGCUGAAGGGGGCGGAUCCACUCUUAAAAAGUUGCUGUAAAAUGAAUUUUUCUAUAUCAAAUGCUAUUUUCCAGUGGCUUGUGUUUUAAGACCAUGGUUUCAUUCCCACUGAGAAAUACCCAGCCUUGGUGUUCCGGAUGCAGCAACCACGAAGGGGUGGGGGCUCAAGGGUGCAGCCCAACCCAUGUGUCCCAUGUGUCCUUGUGUGGCAGAGCUGAUGGGAGCUGGCACUAGGGUUUGGGAUUCAAAGUCUGAAUCCCAAGUGCUCCCCAAAUGGGCUGAGGUCCCUGGCCAGACCCUGGCCCAACACCACUCAUUGUAAGAUGGGAGUAGGCCGGGCGUGGUGGCUCACGCCUGUGAUCCCAGCACUUUGGGAGGCCGAGGCCGAGGGCAGAUCACGUGGUCAGGAGUUUGAGACCAGCCUGGCCAACAUGGUGAAACCCCGUCUCUACUAAAAAUACCAAAAAAAAAAGAAAAAAAAAUUAGCUGGGCGUAGUGGCAGGUGCCUGUAAUCCCAGCUACUUGGGAGGCUGAGGCAGGAGAAUCGCUUGAACCUGGGAGGCAGAGGUUGCAGUGAGCCGAGAUCGCGCCACUGCACUCCAGCCCAGGGAACAGUGCAAGACUGCGUCUCAAAAUAAUAAUAAUAAUAAUAAUACUAAUAAUAAGAUGGGAGGGGCCAGAGGUGGCCCGGGGCAAACCAGCCCCUCAGCCAGAAAAGGAGCCAGGAGCUAGGGGCCCAUCAUGGCGGAGCAGCCAUCUCAUCCUUAUAUCUUAUGCUGUAGGUCAGACACUGGAUAUUAUUAUUAUUAUUAUUAUUUUUUGAGACAGAGUCUCUCUCUGUUGCCCAGGCUGGAGUGCAAUGGCGCC
rnacentral:lncRNA from 1 species